UGGACACUGAUUCAGCUGCCGCCAAGUUAAACCUGGAUUUCAGAAUUUCACGCUACUGGGUCUGGGCGAAGAUUUCAGGUAACAAGACCCGGCGCUAAGCUUUCGUUAGACAAUAAAACAUUCACCGACAACGACUAAGCAACAAAAAAAAAAAUCAGAUUUGCCCAGUCUUCUCUGUUGUAAAGAAGGAUUUUAAAUAGAGCUAUUUUCUCUGAAUUUAUUGGUUAGUUCUUCUGGUCAUUAAAAGUAACAGAAACGUUGGCGGCUUUUUAGAAGAUAACUCUAUUUAAAAUUUACUCUCAGGAGUAAUGUUACUUUCUGUUUAGAAUGGUAAUAAUAUAAUCUAUGCCUUUCUUGUUUUUCACUGUAAAUAACUUUUGUACCUUUCCGGUAAGAUUUUCUUUGAAUUACUGUUGUAUAGAUCAUUCCAUUAAUUAGCUAUUAAAAAGUAUUACACUAUUUUAUGGCUGUCUCUUAUGCCACUUUUAUUUUUUUAUCUCAAAGUGUCUGCGUAGUAGAUUCACUGUGGCGGCACAAAAUCUGUCCCAACAUACAAAGAAAAUAUAUACUGUAAGUGCGUGGAGAUCCGAAGUGCAAUCAAGUGCAGGCAGCCUCCAAAAUCAGGAUCACUCCCCAGUCCUACCAAAAUGACAAACAAAAAAAAUCCUGAAAAAAUCAGCCCAAAUGAAACACGUUGAGUGGAGGACCCCACAAGGUGGUCAUUGGUGAGGGAAUAGCUCCUGGACUCUUAUCCUUUAUACUUUAACUUUUCUUUCGACUGAUACUUGGAGGAAACAACUGUCUACUGUCCGGUGGGACUAAGCCUACGUAGGCUGCAAAGCGUAUUACACAACUUUUAAUUCAUUUUAAUUGUGCCAUGUUUUAUGUGAGAG